CAAGGAGUAGUUUAAUUAGAAUUUCAGCUUUGGGUGCUGAAGGCGAAGCUUGGUGCUUUCUCCUUGA
rnacentral:tRNA from 1 species